GUGAGGAAUAUUGGUCAAUGGGCGAGAGCCUGAACCAGCCAAGUCGCGUGAAGGAAGAAGGAUCUAUGGUUCGUAAACUUCUUUUGCAGGGGAAUGAAGUGCAGGACGUGUCCUGUUUUGUAUGUACCCUGAGAAUAAGGAUCGGCUAACUCCGUGCCAGCAGCCGCGGUAAUACGGAGGGUCCGAGCGUUAUCCGGAUUUAUUGGGUUUAAAGGGUGCGUAGGUGGUUUGAUAAGUCAGCGGUGAAAGUUUGCAGCUUAACUGUAAAAAUGCCGUUGAAACUGUCGGACUUGAGUGUAAAUGAGGUAGGCGGAAUGCGUGGUGUAGCGGUGAAAUGCAUAGAUAUCACGCAGAACUCCGAUUGCGAAGGCAGCUUACUAAGCUACAACUGACACUGAAGCACGAAAGCGUGGGGAUCAAACAGGAUUAGAUACCCUUGUAGUCC
rnacentral:rRNA from 1 species